GAUGAACGCUAGCGACAGGCUUAACACAUGCAAGUCGAGGGGCAGCAUAAUAAUCAGCUUGCUGAUUAUGGUGGCGACCGGCGCACGGGUGAGUAACACGUAUCCAACCUGGCUUAUACUCGGGGAUAGCCUUUCGAAAGAAAGAUUAAUACCCGAUGGUAUAUAAUUACUGCAUGGUAAUUAUAUUAAAGAUUUAUUGGUAUAAGAUGGGGAUGCGUUCCAUUAGUUAGUUGGUGGGGUAACGGCCUACCAAGACAUCGAUGGAUAGGGGUUCUGAGAGGAAGGUCCCCCACACUGGAACUGAGACACGGUCCAGACUCCUACGGGAGGCAGCAGUGAGGAAUAUUGGUCAAUGGGCGGAAGCCUGAACCAGCCAAGUAGCGUGAAGGAUGACUGCCCUAUGGGUUGUAAACUUCUUUUAUAAGGGAAUAAAACCAUCCACGUGUGGGUGUCUGUAUGUACCUUAUGAAUAAGCAUCGGCUAACUCCGUGCCAGCAGCCGCAGUAAAAC
rnacentral:rRNA from 1 species